ACGGUAAUUAGUUGGAUUCAAAAACAAUCUUCAGUCAGUGUUGCAAACCUUCCUUAUUACAAAGAUAUCCUAGCUGUUGCCAACUUGUUUCCGUCCUGUACAUUUAAUCACAUUUAUCGGGAACAAAAUCAAGCCACUGACUGGUUGUCUAAAAGAGCUCCUAUAAUUGACUGCUCCUAUUCUUUAGGAGAUGUCUUAUCUCACUCCUUGGAUCAGAUUUGUUGGGAUAUACCGACUGAUAUACCGA
rnacentral:lncRNA from 1 species